AAUUCAAGUUGUAUCGUACAUAUUCCUCGCUUUUGAUAUUCCGUCGAAUAUUCGAAUAAUUUUCAAACUAUUUUGAAACGUUAUUAACAAAGACCUAUUCACAGAUUGAUAUGUUGUAGACACAUUCAUGCAUAUGAUUAGUGUCUUGUAAUAUAUACAACGAGAUCGAGAUACCUUUCUGGUAUGCAAGAAACAUGCUGAUCGUUUUCUCGGCCCAUGAGUCUGGUCCAUACCAUUUUGACGUAACGUAAAAUUUUGACAACUGACAACGUCAAAGUUUGACAACUGACUACUUCAAACAAUUUCUCUUUGAGUGCAGAAACCAGUCAGUCUCUGUCUUAGAUUUUAUGUUUUUCUUACGGAGACCGAUUAUAGCUUUUUGGGAUAGAGAUAAGGAAAGAAACCAUAACCAGCGACAAUGAAUUAAAAUUUCAGACACACUCACCUUUCAUUCGAUCUAUCAAUCGGAUAUAAAAAUCGAGGAAUAUGGUUUCUAAUCCUUGACGGAGAACGA
rnacentral:sRNA from 1 species